rnacentral:rRNA from 1 species
GAUGAACGCUAGCUACAGGCUUAACACAUGCAAGUCGAGGGGAAACGACAUCGAAAGCUUGCUUUUGAUGGGCGUCGACCGGCGCACGGGUGAGUAACGCGUAUCCAACCUGCCCACCACUUGGGGAUAACCUUGCGAAAGUAAGACUAAUACCCGAUGAUAUCCCUAGAAGACAUCUGAAAGGGAUUAAAGAUUUAUCGGUGAUGGAUGGGGAUGCGUCUGAUUAGCUUGUUGGCGGGGUAACGGCCCACCAAGGCAACGAUCAGUAGGGGUUCUGAGAGGAAGGUCCCCCACAUUGGAACUGAGACACGGUCCAAACUCCUACGGGAGGCAGCAGUGAGGAAUAUUGGUCAAUGGGCGAGAGCCUGAACCAGCCAAGUAGCGUGCAGGAUGACGGCCCUAUGGGUUGUAAACUGCUUUUAUAAGGGAAUAAAGUGAGUCUCGUGAGACUUUUUGCAUGUACCUUAUGAAUAAGGACCGGCUAAUUCCGUG